AGCAAACAGGAUUAGAUACCCUGGUAGUCCACGCUGUAAACGAUGUCGAUUUAGAGGUUGUGGUCUUGAACCGUGGCUUCUGGAGCUAACGCGUUAAAUCGACCGCCUGGGGAGUACGGCCGCAAGGUUAAAACUCAAAUGAAUUGACGGGGGCCCGCACAAGCGGUGGAGCAUGUGGUUUAAUUCGAUGCAACGCGAAGAACCUUACCUACUCUUGACAUCCAGCGAAUCCUUUAGAGAUAGAGGAGUGCCUUCGGGAACGCUGAGACAGGUGCUGCAUGGCUGUCGUCAGCUCGUGUUGUGAAAUGUUGGGUUAAGUCCCGCAACGAGCGCAACCCUUAUCCUUUGUUGCCAGCACGUAAUGGUGGGAACUCAAAGGAGACUGCCGGUGAUAAACCGGAGGAAGGUGGGGAUGACGUCAAGUCAUCAUGGCCCUUACGAGUAGGGCUACACACGUGCUACAAUGGCAGAUACAAAGAGAAGCGACCUCGCGAGAGCAAGCGGAACCCAUAAAGUCUGUCGUAGUCCGGAUUGGAGUCUGCAACUCGACUCCAUGAAGUCGGAAUCGCUAGUGAUCGUAGAUCAGAAUGCUACGGUGAGUACGCUCCCGGGC
rnacentral:rRNA from 1 species